UCUCCCGAAUCUCUCCUACCAACUCACGCAUAGUCUUCUCCUCCCUCUCCCCUCUCCGCGAAUCUCUCCUUCGAACUCCUCUCCGUCCAACCUCUCUUCCACAAACCCCUCUCCACGAAUCUCUCCUCCGAACACCUUCAAACAGUGAGCUUUUUUAGCACUAGUCGCGCCUUGCCUUGAAAGCCUUCACUGCUGCUCGAAGCGAGCAGUAGUAUGAUGUCGAUCUCAACCUCUACGCGUCUCCACCUUGUCCAGGUGCGGAUCGCGGCAGGAGAUCGAUACCUUGGUUGCUGAUCUAAUGGAGGAGGGAUGACUCUCCACGGAGACCUCCAAGGGGGUUCCCUAAUGGCCGAUUGAUGGCGAGGAGGAGAGCUAAUCGGCGAGCCGAUCAGCGGUGGUGUAGAAGGUCAAGAUUGGAUUUUACUUCGCCGCGUGGUGAGCGCUGAACGUGGUGUUCAACAUCUACAACAAGAAGGUUCUUAACGCCUUCCCCUACCCUUGGCUGACCUCCACACUCCCCCUUGCUGCCGACUAGCGCCCUCAUGUUUUAGGUAAAGUUUGAUUUAACCUCUUCAAAGAACAUGUUGAAAUGACAAAAAAAGAUUUGUGGCAAUGCAAAUGUCCGUUACGCAUGGCUUGCUUCCUCCAAGGAUGCGGUGGAUGAGAUGAUGUCUCAUGGGGUUCUGAAGCAACCUGUGCAGAAAUGACUUUAUGGAAAUGGACUUCAUCUUGCCCUUACAAAUUGCUCUGAUAUCUGCAUUGCGUAAGCUUUGUGAAGAUGCUUCAGCAGUUAUGCAGGAUCUAUAAAAUCUUGAAGUUUUGAUCUGGAUAGGCGAGGACUUGGAGAAAUGGAAUCUUUCAUAUCUAAUCCUGUUGUUUUAGGGAAACUACAUGAAAAAAUAGAUUUCACCAAUUACCCAAAAAGUACUUGUAUCUUCUAGAUAGAUAGAACCAUUGACAAAUUGUAGGCCUGUAAAAAUGCUGAAAUAUCACUUUCAUGGUUGUACAUGUAUUGAUGAAACCAUCCUCCUAAAGCCUUUAUGAAUAUUUCAGAAGGGGGAGACCAUCUGUCUUGUAAGCUAUAUGAUCAUCCAAUGCUUAUAAGUCCAAGAUUAUAAGGCAUGUAAACAAUCAAGAGUGUUUAUCUAAAAUAUUGGAAGAUGUUUGGAAGCUUUCUAUUUUUUAAAUUUUUAUGUAUUUGGGCAAUCUUGGUGUUUUCUUCAGAAAUUGAUAUUGAUUGGUUAUUUGUUUUGUGUAACUUCUUUUCAUAUCUAGGACUUGGAGAAAUGGAAUCUUUCAUAUGAAGAGGAAGAGGAAAUUGUUAGUACAAUAACUCUUACACUCAAUACAAUUGUUAACAAGGAGCUGAAGAAGAGUUCACUGUCUAGAUUACUUUCUUCUAGCUACAAAUCCAUUGAGAAACUUGUAUGUUAUUUAGCUUGCAUUUUUAAAUUGUAAAGAAAGUGAAUCUCGUGCUUUCUAGAAUUCUAGUUCAUCCGACAACAUUUUUAAAUCACAGGUACCUCUCAAUGAUUAUGUAGGAUGUUUAGUAGAAGAUCGAUGUUGAGGAAUUGUUAUACAUGAUCACAUGGAUAAUUACACACUUUAUGAUAUCUAUAUUAUAUAUAAUAUUGUCAAUAUUGGUUACAUUGUUGUGACAUUAAUCGUUUAUAUAUUGUUUAUACUUUACAAACGCUGCACAGGAAAUUUUGUUUUUGUUUUUGUUGAUCGUUGACUAAAUUUUCCUAAUUUUCCUUAGCGUACAAAAAUUUCUUUUGCAUAAUACUGAUGGUAUUGUUUUCUU